AAAACUGAAAAACAAUCCCAAAAAAAAAAAAAAAAAAAAAACCGAAAAACAAACUACUCCGGAGUCCGUAGUACAUCACUUUGUAGCUUCUGCGUCCCCUGAUUUCACUCUCUCUCUUACAAAUCCAGCCACCACAGACUGCCGUUGCUAUCGCCGUAUUACAAUCUUCCUCCGCCCUAAUCGUUAGUGAUUCGUCUCAUCUGCCGCCAUCGAAGGCUUCCGCUUAAGUCUUCUACAGGUUAAUGGCAAAAUUAAAAAAGAGAAGACUUGCUGAAGUAGCUUCAAGACGAGCUGCUGAAGUAGCUUCAGUACAAGCUGCUGAAGUAGCAUCAGGACAAGCUGCUGAAGUAGCAUCAGGACAAGUUGCUGCAGUAACAUCAGGACAAGGUGUUGAGAUGACGUCGGAACAAAUUGCUGAAGUUAUUGCUGAAGUAACGUCAGGACAAGUUGAAAUAGCGUCAAACUCAGACUCAGCUUCUGACUCAGACUCUGAUAAUGAGAAUACAAGGGGUCGUACUGUACUUGCAGCAGUAAGGAAGGUGAUUCAGAAAGGAGAGAAAAUUCGCUUGGAAUGGAAUGCAGCAAAAAUUCCUUGUGGGGAUCACCGACCCAUUUUUGCCACAUUAAUUGGUGUAAUUGUACGUGAGCGAGUUAGCAUCACCUAUGAGGAGUGGUCCCAUGUUCCAGCAGAACUCCUGAAUGAAGUGUAUGAUGACAUUACGAAAGGAUUCAUUGUUUUGCCUGAUCGAAAAAAAUGGAUUUUAAGGCGAGCUGCUGAGCGAUGGAGAGCUUUUAAAGCUAGAUUGGUGAAGAAGUACCUGUACAAAAGGUCUGGAAUGAUAAGAAAGAAGGUGCCAUUAAAAUAUUCCUUUAUAUCUCAAAAUGAUUGGGAAAAGUUCACUGCAUAUUGUACUAGUGAUAAGUUUAAGGAAUUAAGUGAAAAGAAUCGAGAAAAGGCAAAUAUGAAGACGUCAAGGUACCGAGGGGGCCGAAAAGGGUACCAGCAUUUUGAACAAGAGAUUGCAAAAGAAUUCGAAGCGCAGGGGAUCCACAUUGAUAAGGUGCCUCGACAUUUGACUUGGCUUAAAGCUCAUGAAAAUAAAGCAGAUCAAACCUAUGCGCCCGGUGAUAUGGAAAUCGCUGAAGCAAUUAAAACCCUAGAUGCCCAAGCUAAAAAAGGUGAUUUGUCUGCUACGGGCCGAGAUGAUAUUCUAGCAAAAGUAUUGAAGAAGCCUGAGCAUGGUGGUUGUGUUAGGGGUGUUGGAUCAGGCAUCUCGAAUAAGGAGUAUUUUGGGUUUGCUGGGAGACCAAAAGUUGGUCAAAUGCUGGAUCAAAUUCAAGCAUUGCAAUCUCAAGUGACAAGAAUGGCAAACAUGCAAAAUUUUAUGAUGGCAUAUUUCAUGGCAUGUAACCAACCGUCUAUCAUGCAGCCCAACCCAGAGCAAAUGAGACAGUUGAUGGCUGGUGGAUCUGGGUUCGGCUUUGGCCAAUCUAAUGGUAACAAUAGCCAAUCUGGCCAACUUGGUGGUUUUGGCGGGCAAUUUGGUGGAUCUAGUGGUCCAUGGGGUGGCUUUGGUCAGCUUAACCCAUUUGGGAGUGGUGGCCCAUUUGCGGGUGGUGGCCCAUUUGGGGGUGGUGGCCCAUUCUCUGGUAAUGGGCAAAAUGUGCCCGAUCCCUCAGUUUCUUCUGAGCCUCAAGCCCGCCUCCAUUGUGAGCCACUGGUUUCUUCUGAGCCUCAGGCCCGCCUCCAUAUUGAGCUUGAGAAAAGCUGUGUCCCUGAGUCCCAGACAGUUACAAAAAAAGGCCGAACAUUAAGAAAAAGAAGAAAAUAAAGCUAGUUCCUUAGCCCUUCAUUGGUGACCAGACUUUUCACGAGGACCAAGGUGGUGGACUGGUGGUUGUUGUUGUUGAAUGUUUUUUCUCUGAUGACGUGUAUCUAAAUGAUUGGGAGCGAUUCUCAAAAUUUCCAUUAAGGGUGACCGUUUGUCUUUUGCUGAUAAUAAAGUGACCUAAACUAAGAUUGUGGAAGCUCAGCCCAGUGACCCACCUUUCAACUGCAGUUGCUGACAAGGUCAGGGAUUUGUUGGUUUAGUACGAACAAGCUGAACUAUUUUUUCAUUAUUUUGGGAGUACUUAAUUUGUAAUAUACUGUAGUUGUUUUAAAAGAAAUAUUAUGGACUUAAGUGUCGUAGAUUAUUCUGAAUUGGUGGGAAGGGAUUAGCCGUGUGAGGAAUGCAAGAAUUGUGAUUCAGAGUAUUGCGAUUUUUGGUGGUUUGGUAAAUGAAUUUGGCGUGCA